UUUUCAUUAGCCUCAUUAUUUAUCAGCAAGCAGUGAGUGACCUUUGGUACAAGCCUGGAUCAAGCAAGGGGAAGCAUGGAACUGAGCAGGAGUCCACAUUGACACUGUGACGCUUGGCACUACUGGGAGGACCGACCAGGCCCCAGCAGCCCAGCACUGACACAAAAGAACAGGACCUUGGUAACUUGUGCAAGGAAAAGAAGACGAAGAGUUUGAACUGAGACCUGCAUCUUCUUCCUCCCUCCCAAAUCAGAGCUGCUCUACAAGGAGAAGAUGCCACAGAAUGUCAUAAUGGAAGAAACCAAACUGAAAAAGGGAAAAGAAAGCUUGUUCUUUUUUUUUCCCCCAAAUGAAGUUCAGUGCUUUUGCCUAUUAAAGUAAACCAAAUAUGUUUCUCUCAAAAAAAUUAAUGCCAAAAGGCAAGAUGCCAACCACAGUGAACAGAUAAAUCACUGUUCAAGGGUAUUUUUUCCCUUUCUUUUUCCCCUUAUUUUUAUUUUUUUCCCUCUUCUGACAACAAACUUCCAACAAGUAAACACAACACUUACUCCCCACCUUUUGAUUUUAACUCCAAACUGUCAACUUUUGGAAGAAAGCCGUGUGGGAUUUUUUUUUUGGGGGGGAGGGGGAAGAAAACAUGAUGAAACAAAUUCUAACCUCUUCAUCAAAAAUCAGAACCAAACCAUUAUACCACAAACCACAUAUAACUUCUAAUUGUAAUUCAUUUAUUACUAAGGUCACUGUAAACUAACUGGGAAUGUGUAAACAGAAAUGAAUCACGGGUUUCAUUUGUGUGUACUUUUCAAACUGGAAGACCUAACAGUUUCAUGUUCCAACAUACGAAAGAGAAUUACUCCUAUAAACCUACUCAGCGCUCUCUGCCAGCGCUUUCCAUUUAAUUAAACUGACAGCAAAACAGGGCUCUUACUAAUUUGAUCCAGACCAAUUUUCCUUCAAUGUAAAUUCUCAGGCAUGA